UACGUAGGGUGCGAGCGUUGUCCAGAAUUACUAGGCGUAAAGAGCUCGUAGGUGGUUUGUCGCGUUGUCCGUUAAAUCCAACUGCUUAACAGGUGGGCUGCGGAAGAUACUAUAGAGCUAGGAGGCGGGAGAGGCAAGCGGUACUCGAUGGGUAGGGGUAAAAUCCGUUGAUCCAUUGAAGACCACCAGUGGCGAAGGCGGCUUGCCAGAACGCGCUCGACGGUGAGGGAUGAAAGCUGGGGGAGCAAACCGG
rnacentral:rRNA from 1 species